UUUUCUCAUGACGUCUUUUCUUCCUCUUCCUUCUGUCUCUCUCUCUCUAUCUCCCUCUCUGAAAACCCUAAUUCAAAGUCUUUUUCUCUAUCCUACCUCAUUUCUUUCUGAGAUAACAAACGAGAUCGCCAGCCUGAAUGUAAAUGGAGACACCAAUUUAUACAUGUGGAGAAUUGUUCAGCAUUUGUGUGUGAAGCAAAUUAAUAAAUAAUUCGAAUAAUGGAGGCUAAUAUCUGUGAUAUCAAUCACUUGGAUGCGGAUGUCCUUUUGCCUCCUCGAAAGCGCCUGCUUGCUGGAUUGAAAAAGCAAAGCUCGGAAGCUGAUGGUGCUUUGGGUCUCUCUCUAAUUGCUUCUUCUGCUUCUGCUUCUGCUUCUGCUUCUGCUUCUGCUUCUGCUUCAUCUGCUGCUACUUUAAGCGACUUUGAAACACGUCUUAACAACCUGUUAAGCUCUCAUUCGAAUAAUCCUAACCUUACACCAGAGGAAAUAGUAGAGGCUUCAAAAUCAGCAGCUAUUGCUGCAGCAGCGGCUGCAGCGGCUGCGAGAGCUGCCGCUGAAGAAAAGGCUGCAAAAGCAUCAAAGGCAAAGGCUGCUGUCAAGAGCGCCUUAGAUUUGGUUGCCUCAUUUUCUGAAGAGGCAGCCUCUAAGGAAAAAUAUCUGAAAAAGAAUAGGCUGAAGAAGCAUCUUCCAGUUCGGCUUUUGUACAAAAAAUACCAACCGAUUGAGAAUAACAAGACAGAUGAAGAGUUGGCCCGUAAGUUGCAUCGAGCUAUUAACAGCUCCCCCAGAAUCUUGAAGAACUCUUCAAGUUCUGACUGGAAGGGUCAUAAACACAAGAAGCCUAAUAGCUCAGUGAGUUCUGAGAAAAGUAGGGUAUCCAAUGGGAGUAUCUUGUUGGAAGGACACCUCCCAUCUAUGUCCAAUGGUCAUGCUAUAACAGGCAAGGUCAAUUCUGAGGGUUCCAUCCGAGAGUUAUACACACACAAAGUAGAUGAAAGGGCCUCCAAGUCUGAUAAAGUAAGCCAACUAGAGGUGGAUAAUGAAGAAGCAGAAUCAAGUCAGCCAAAGGAUAAAACUGGGGAAGAUGUGUGUACAACUGGUAAAAAAAGGGGAAGAGUGAAGCUAAAAAGGUUGCCGCUAAGCAUUUGUACUUUUAGGGAUCGGUCAAACCCCAAGGAGGAGAUGAAUGGGAGAAGCACCCCAAUGACUGAGAAUAACGUGGGCAGCCCCACUGCUGGCAGUAUGCCCUUAUUCUCAAUGCAGCCUUCGGCCGAUGGUGUGAUGCCAAUUGGGGCUACACCGGUGUGGAAAUGCCAAGAGUUCAAAGUUCCAACUUGUGUCGAACAAAAUAAAGUACUGCAGUCGUGAUGUUCAAAUGUAAUGUGGUGACGGGUGGCUACUGUGAUAGAAGUUGAUAGCUGAGAAUAGCAAAGCUUCAAGUGAGGAUUCAAGUGAUGGAAUAAAUUGAAUAGUAUUGGUUAACAUGUUGCAUAUUCGUCCUGCUCAUAGAAUCGAUGAGAAAUGAACAAUAGAAUGCUGAGUGUCGUUGGUUAUAUAAUUUUUUUUUUCAAGUUGAUUGUUUUACUUUUAUAUGCUGUGUCGCUACUUGACAAAAUAACAUAUAUAUGUUACUUGCUGCUGCUUUCGUAAA